rnacentral:lncRNA from 1 species
CGCAUUCAACCAUGAACCAUUCCACUUCUGAAUCUACGUUGGAAUGUUUCUUGAUGUUAAAUCCAAAGGAGUGCUUUACAUGCAGCAAGGUUUGGCAUUUAUAUGUUUUGCUUUUUAGAGUAGCUUUCAAGAUGGUGUUUCUAGUAUUUCAUACGAGCUGCUUUACACCAAAGGCUUCUUCAUCUUUCGGUAUUUACCACAUCCGAAUAUUUACGAUGAAAGCGUGCACACGACAAUAUUGUAAAAACCUAACUAAAUUUGAUACUUUUAAAAUAAUGCUGUG